ACUUACUUAUCUGGAAGGUAGCAGGAACAGACAAAAAGGGAGCACGCUAACAGCAGCCCAGUCAAGCAGCUUACUGAAAUGCUCUGCAUGGGUCUAGGAGACCAGAGCAGAACCAAGAGCGUCCAACAGGAGUCACCUGACUCUCAGUUCCACCUGCAGAAAAAAAAACUACAUCCAGAGGCCAGGUAAAAGGACCUGGGACAGAGAAAUGGAAGAUGGGGAAGUUGCGCGCAUCAGCAUGCAGCAAGGAAAAGCUGACAUGCAAAUCUCAAAGGUGGAAACAGAUGCCAAGCAGAGUGACAGAGAGAAAAAGCUGCAACAAACAGGCCAGGUUGCAGGGCUUUGGUGACUCCUGAAUUCACUGGCAUUUGUACCUGUUCAGUGAGACAUUUCAAGAAGCUGAGCUGACCAGAAACUAUCCCUAUGAAAAAAGCGUCAUCAAUCUGGCCAGGGCAGCUCCACAAAGUACUAGCACACAGAGGAAAGCAUACUCAGGUGAAAAGGAGGACAGGGCUGGAUCACAGCAAUCCCAAUUUAACAUCAGCUUCAAAAGCUGUGCAACCACAGCCUAAAUGAGUCGAUUCUUGAACAUGUACCCUCCAGAUAUUCUUGUGUAGCAGGACACGCCUAUUAUCCCAUUUCAUGGAUAACAAAGAGAUUUCAAGUAAAGUGCCAAAGCUCACACAGGAAACCUCUGGCAGGAGUGGGAAGUUGAAUUUAGGCUUGGUAUGAUUCAAGAAGUGCCUCCUCCAACAACUGGACUCUGUCCCUUGAAGCUGUCUCUGCAGCAAAGAGCUGGAAUCCUAAGAGGCAAAGGAAGUACUAUUUUAAAGGCAGGAAGCAGAUACCCAUAUGAGAAAAGUGACUUUCCCAAAGUCAGAUGCAGUUGUUCUUAAUUACAGGCAAAACCCACACUUGCCAGAACCACUGGCAAAAAUUAAUUCAGACCUACAGAAAUUUGUGUUUACAAGACAGUCCUUGCCUAGUAUUAUACAACCACAUCUUCUAGGAUCCUGAAACGAAGAGUAACUUUUUUUUUUUUUAAAUCAACCCCUUAAGUUCCUUUUUUCUGAUGAGGAAGAAAAUAACAGUUAAACAGCCAUCUGAUUAUCAUCAGAAUACAUUCUGAACAAUGUUUCAGUUUUGCUGCUUGGUUCUUGAGAAGACACCCUUUGGGAAAAUCAAACGCAGCACAUGCUGAAUAAUUUCCUAUCAAGGGCACAUAAGAGAAUGAAGUAUCUAAAAAUGCUUGUGUAACAAGUCAUCUAUGCCUCAUAAGGUAUUUGGGUUUUUUCUUGUGUCUAUAUCUCAUAAGAAAAAGAAAGGUUCUUUC